rnacentral:other from 1 species
AUGAGCCUGCCCUGUUAGUGAUGGGUGAAAGAUGUUAAUCCACCAAGUUAGAUCUUACGGGAGCUGGAUGAAAGGGUACGGUGUGCAUGUCUUCCCAGUUGAAGAAAGCCUGAAGUCCCUUUCGGGGCGCCCACUUGUCAAAAGGGGAUCUAACGCCUUCACCCGCACGGCAGGGUGGGUUUUUU